UCAGUCCCACUUGCCUGCCCAGUGCCCGGCGCACUUCCUCAGGGGCACACAGCCCGGGUCUUCUCAAGUCAUGUUCGAUAUCUAGUUAAGGGGUACAUUUAUCUCCAGUGUUCCCCGGGACCUUCCCUUUUGAUUUUCAAGAACAUUUUCUUCCCUCUGCCAGAGCAGUCCUUUCGAAUCAAAGGCUCGGCUUUUCCAAAGCGUAGUUUCUGAUGUGGGCUUCAGUGGACUGGCUGCGAAGUUCCUGAGACAAUGAGAGGGGAUGCUGGCUGUCUCUUUCUCUUUAUCUUCUCGCAGUAAAGCUCCAGUUCUCCUUGAGGUGACCCUUCACUUGUUGUGUGAAGUCAACAAAACUGACCAGCACACCAUCUGAAUGCUACAGCGGGAUGGAGAUGGGAGGCGAAGCCUUGGAAGCUGGAGGGUGAAUAGCUGGUGUGCACAACCCCCUAGCAACGGGCAAACAAGGAGGAGUGUGGAAUGGGAGUCAGUGCUUAAUGGGCACUAAGUUUCCAUUUGGUUGUAGAGACGAUGGUGCUGAUGGCUAUAAGGCGUCUUGAAAGUGCUGAAUGCCACCAAACUGCACAAUUGAAACAGUUAAGAUGGUGAAUGUUGUGUGUGUUUUCCUGCCGCUGAAUACUGUAUUUUUUUUUUCUGGUAUGUUUUAUUCUUGUGUAAUCAGCUUUGUGGUUUUUUUUCCCCUUCCAGAUUAACUCGAGAAUCAACUUGUCACAUUCUAUUAAAAGUCCCUUUGAUAUUUUUACUGCAGUUACAUCAAGUUUAUGGAUUGCCUUGGGGAGAAGUGACAUUUUUAUGGUCCUGAUCUUUCCCCCAGGUGGAGGCCUCCUCAUUGACUGGGAUCUCUUUAUGUCUCUCAGUAAAGUUGUAUAAUUCCAUUUC
rnacentral:lncRNA from 1 species